rnacentral:rRNA from 1 species
UAGGGAAUAUUAGUAAUGGGCGAAAGCCUGAACUAGCAACACCGCGUGUGCGAAGAAGGCCUUCGGGUUGUAAAGCACUUUUUGAGAGGAUGAGGAAGGACGGUACUCUCAGAAUAAGUCUCGGCUAACUACGUGCCAGCAGCCGCGGUAACACGUAGGAGGCAAACGUUAUCCGGAUUUACUGGGCGUAAAGCGCGUGUAGGUGGUUUGGUAAGUAGAGCGUGAAAGCUCCUGGCUCAACUGGGAGAGGUCGUUCUAAACUGCAGAGCUAGAGGAUGGUAGAGGUAGGUGGAAUUCCGGGUGUAGCGGUGGAAUGCGCAGAUAUCCGGAGGAACACCAGUUGCGAAAGCGGCCUCCUGGACCAUUCCUGACACUCAGACGCGAAAGCUAGGGUAGCAAACG